rnacentral:lncRNA from 1 species
GGCCUUACUACCAGAAGCUUGAGCUGGGAGCCUCGGCCGUCGCAUCUCUAAGAAUUUUAAACGGAAGAACGCAGAAGAAUUCUCUUUAUGUUACCUUUAUUUAGCAACAAAUCAACUUGACUCAACUGAUACUUACUGAGUGCCUUUAAAGGUCUCAAAAUUCUGUGACAAAUUUUUGGUCAAGUUGUUUCCAUUAAAAAGUACUGAUUUUAAAAACUAAUAACUUAAAACUACCACAUGCAAAAAAGAAAACCAAAGUGGUCCACAAAACAUUCUCCUUUCCUUCUGAAGGUUUUACGAUGCAUUGUUAUCAUUAACCAGUCUUUCACUACUAAACUUAAAUGGCCAAUUGAAACAAACAGUUCUGAGACCAUUCUUCCACCACUGAUUAAGAGUUGGGUGGCAGGUAUUAGGGAUAAUAUUCAUUUAGCCUUCUGAGCUGUCUGGGCAGACUUCGUGACCUUGCCACCUCCAGCAGCCUUCUUGUCCACUGCUUUGAUGACACCCACCGCAACUGUCUGUCUCAUAUCACGAACAGCAAAAUGACCCAAAGGUGGAUAGUCUGAGAAGCUCUCAACAAUGGGCUUGCCAGGAACCAUAUCAACAAUGGCAGCAUCACCAGACUUCAAGAAUUUAGGGCCAUCUUCCAGCUUUUUACCAGAACCGCGAUCAAUCUUUUCCUUCAGCUCAGCAAACUUGCAUGCAAUGUGAGCCGCGUGGCAAUCCAAUAUAGGGGCAUAGCCAGCGCUUAUUUGGCCUGGAUGGUUCAGGAUAAUUACCUGAGCAAUGAAGUCAGCUGUUUCCAUUGGUGGGUCAUUUUUGCUGUCACCAGCAACGUUGCCACGACGAACAUCCUUGACAGACACAUUCUUGACAUUGAAGCCCACAUUGUCCCCAGGAAGAGCUUCACUCAAAGCUUCAUGGUGCAUUUCGACAGAUUUUACUUCUGUUGUAAUGUUGACUGGAGCAAAGGUGACCACCACACCAGGUUUGAGAACACCAGUCUCCACUCGGCCAACAGGAACAGUACCAAUACCACCAAUUUUGUAGACAUCCUGGAGAGGCAGGCGCAAGGGCUUGUCAGUUGGAUGAGUUGGUG